AUUGAACGCUGGCGGCAUGCCUUACACAUGCAAGUCGAACGGCAGCACGGGUGCUUGCACCUGGUGGCGAGUGGCGAACGGGUGAGUAAUACAUCGGAACGUACCUUAUCGUGGGGGAUAACGCAGCGAAAGCUGUGCUAAUACCGCAUACGCCCUGAGGGGGAAAGCGGGGGAUCGCAAGACCUCGCGCGAUUAGAGCGGCCGAUGCCUGAUUAGCUAGUUGGUGGGGUAAAAGCCCACCAAGGCGACGAUCAGUAGCUGGUCUGAGAGGACGAUCAGCCACACUGAGACUGAGACACGGCCCAGACUCCUACGGGAGGCAGCAGUGGGGAAUUUUGGACAACGGGGGCAACCCUGAUCCAGCAAUGCCGCGUGAGUGAAGAAGGCCUUCGGGUUGUAAAGCUCUUUUGUCAGGGAAGAAACACCGGCUCUAACACAGUCCGGGAAUGACGGUACCUGAAGAAUAAGCACCGGCUAACUACGUGCCAGCAGCCGCCGUAA
rnacentral:rRNA from 1 species